rnacentral:tRNA from 1 species
GCUCCCAUCGUCUAGGGGUCCAGGACACCUGAUUUUCAAUCAGGCGACACGAGUUCAAAUCUCGUUGGGAGCG